rnacentral:rRNA from 1 species
UACAGGGGGGGCAAGCGUUGUUCGGAAUUACUGGGCGUAAAGGGCUUGUAGGUGGCCAACUAAGUCCGACGUGAAAUCCCUAGGCUUAACCUAGGAACUGCGUCGGAUACUGGAUGGCUUGAAUCCGGGAGAGGGAUGCGGAAUUCCCGGUGUAGCGGUGAAAUGCGCAGAUAUCGGGAAGAACACCCGUGGCGAAGGCGGCUCUCUGGGACGGUACUGACGCUGAGACGCGAAAGCGUGGGGAGCGAACAGG